AUCCUGUGGGACUCGAGGGACAUUGUUCCAGCUAAUGAUUAAGAACUCUCCAGACAAUAGGGGCUUCUUAGACAAUGGGUGAAUUUCCAGGAUGUCCGGCCCCCUUCCGAGAAGGAGGGAGAUAACAAAAUGUAAAAAAGGUGUCUGUCAAAGACCAAUCAGGCAGCUGGGGAGAAGGAGGGAGAUAACAAAAUGUAAAAAAGGUGUCUGUCAAAGACCAAUCAGGCAGCUGGGGACAAGUUCCCUCUCUGGUCCGAGCCUAAGCCGGGACCAAUCAGCAGGAGAACACAACCAAAUCUAUAAUUUACAUACGGGGAAGUGGGAACCUAUAAAACUGACAUAUUCGCGCCCAAAAGGGGUUCCUUCUUCGACCUCCUGCGUGAGGACCAAGGAACCCCGGUGCACCGGCCUUCAAUAAACCUCUUGCGUUUUGCAUCGA